rnacentral:rRNA from 1 species
UGGGGAAUUUUGGACAAUGGGGGCAACCCUGAUCCAGCCAUUCCGCGUGAGUGAAGAAGGCCUUCGGGUUGUAAAGCUCUUUCAGCAGGAACGAAACGGUCGGCUUUAAUAAAGUCGGCUAAUGACGGUACCUGCAGAAGAAGCACCGGCUAACUACGUGCCAGCAGCCGCGGUAAUACGUAGGGUGCGAGCGUUAAUCGGAAUUACUGGGCGUAAAGCGUGCGCAGGCGGCGACAUAAGACAGAUGUGAAAUCCCCGGGCCAACCUGGGAACUGCGUUUGUGACUGUGUUGCUAGAGUGUAGCAGAGGGGGGUGGAAUUCCACGUGUAGCAGUGAAAUGCGUAGAGAUGUGGAGGAACACCGAUGGCGAAGGCAGCCCCCUGGGUUAACACUGACGCUCAUGCACGAAAGCGUGGGGAGCAAACAGGAUUAGAUACCCUGGUAGUCCCUGAGCGGGCUGGCAAGGCGCAU